rnacentral:rRNA from 1 species
UACGUAGGGGGCUAGCGUUGCUCGGAAUCACUGGGCGUAAAGGGUGCGUAGGCGGUUCUUUAAGUCAGGGGUGAAAUCCUGGAGCUCAACUCCAGAACUGCCUUUGAUACUGAGGAUCUUGAGUUCGGGAGAGGUGAGUGGAACUGCGAGUGUAGAGGUGAAAUUCGUAGAUAUUCGCAAGAACACCAGUGGCGAAGGCGGCUCACUGGCCCGAUACUGACGCUGAGGUGCGAAAGCGUGGGGAGCAAACAGG